rnacentral:rRNA from 1 species
UACAGAGGUCCCGAGCGUUGUUCGGAUUCACUGGGCGUAAAGGGCGCGUAGGUGGUUAGGUAAGUCGGAUGUGAAAUCUCCGGGCUCAACCCGGAAAUGGCAUUGGAAACUACCUUACUGGAGGAUUUGAGGGGGGAUUGGAAUACUUGGUGUAGCAGUGAAAUGCGUAGAUAUCAAGUGGAACACCAGUGGCGAAGGCGAAUCCCUGGAAAAUACCUGACACUGAGGCACGAAAGCUAGGGGAGCAAACAGG